rnacentral:rRNA from 1 species
GACGAACGCUGGCGGCGUGCUUAACACAUGCGAGUCGAACGGAAAGGCCCUGCUUUUGUGGGGUGCUCGAGUGGCGAACGGGUGAGUAACACGUGAGUAACCUACCCUUGACUUUGGGAUAACUUCAGGAAACUGGGGCUAAUACCGGAUAGGAGCUCCUGCUGCAUGGUGGGGGUUGGAAAGUUUCGGCGGUUGGGGAUGGACUCGCGGCUUAUCAGCUUGUUGGUGGGGUAGUGGCUUACCAAGGCUUUGACGGGUAGCCGGCCUGAGAGGGUGACCGGCCACAUUGGGACUGAGAUACGGCCCAGACUCCUACGGGAGGCAGCAGUGGGGAAUAUUGCACAAUGGGCGGAAGCCUGAUGCAGCAACGCCGCGUGCGGGAUGACGGCCUUCGGGUUGUAAACCGCUUUCGCCUGUGACGAAGCGUGAGUGACGGUAAUGGGUAAAGAAGCACCGGCUAACUACGUG